rnacentral:lncRNA from 1 species
GGACACUUUACAAUGGGACCUGGAUGCCGGGCCUGAACAAGCUGGCUGUCCCCAGAGCUCAUGACAUUUGAUCUUCAACCCAAGGACAGCCCAUGCUUCCUGUGGUUGCUGUCUUUUGGUUUGUCGGUGCCUCUGUCCCCUGUUGGGCUCCUUGGAGGGAGCUUGCUUGCAAGCAGACGGAUGGAAGCCCACCUGACCUGUCUAGCUGUGGCCACUUCCUCCUUCCCAGCUCAGCCUUUGCUGUGAGAGCUCGGAGUGAAUGCCUUUGAGACCAAACAACAGGAAACCACGAAGCAGGGUGAGUCUGAGGACAGGAAACUGCUGAUCAAGGUGACAUCAGCCCCUAGCAUGGCUGGCACCUGUGACAGUGGGGGGUGGGGUGGGGAGCCCUCUAGAAGGUGGGAGACAGCCACUCGUGGUUAGGCAUUUGACACAUGGACAGACUUUUGGUGACGAUUGUGAGGAGCUAUGCAAGGUGUGGAGGCCCCAUGUGGGCCACACGCCAAGUGUUGGUCACGGAGACUCAUUAAAGAGGUUCUGGCAUGUUC